ensembl:lncRNA
UAAGGUUGUUUCGCUCAGCUGAUUAGCAAACGAGGGAGACAAAUUGACGGCACUCCGAAGACUCGGGUGCCAUGCCUUGUCCUUGGACCCAAAAGGACGCGCCAUUUCUACGCACUCUGCAUUGCUGGAACGGCCUGACGGACUCCGGGCUGCAUUUCUUCUUGAGGUAACUUGCCUACAUACAUCAUCUAAGCUAUAUUUUAAUGUGAUGCUAUGUUUUCCAUAAUUUUGCAUCACCGUUAUUUGUAAUAACGUGAUGUAACGUUAGGUUAUGGGUUUCUGCACUGAACGUUAGCUAGCUAGCUAGCAUUAGUUUACCAAACAUUGGCUAGGGAAAUGUUUCAAUGUAAUUACUUUGGCAGGUCGGUUAAAACACCAAGGGGUUAUGUGCUUCAUUUCAAACUUCAUAGAAAUAAACCACGUUGUUUGUUUAAGCGCGUUUAAGCUGGUUGCAAAGAGACCUUUGUUCGACAUGGAGCAUUUAAGGCUCAUUUCUACCGGACACAUAUUGUUAACUUAUCAGCUUCUGUGAACGUUACUGUAAGGACAGCUCUCAAAUGCGGUGUGGCGUUAUGUGAACGUCACUGUCAAAAUACAAAACAGCUAAUGGCUCAUUUGAAGGAGCAUCUCUUGGAAGGACGCGUGAGUUGUCGAGUAAGUGGAUGUAAAAACGUUUUCUUGGUCAAAUCCUCAUUCACCGCUAACAUGUCACACAAAAUGUAUACAAAAUGUAUAAUUGAUGGGAUUCAUUAUAUGUGCAGUUAUCCUGGUUGUUAAAAAAUUAACCACAUAAAACAUGAAGCUAAGUCUUGAUUGAGUCUUAAGAGUGAAUGUCAUGCUGUCAGUCCAGCAGGUCCCCCUGUGUUUGUUUGUUUGCUUUGCCUGUGUGUCCCCUGUCUCUGCAAGGAGGUGUGGUCUUCCCCUGUUCGUCCCGAAGGGCGUGGCUGGAACAGCUAGCUGACAGCAAUCAGCCAUCAGGGGACUCUCCUACAUCAACCCGGGUCUUCCUGCCAUUCAGCGCCAGAUCGUUCUGUUAUCAGAGUGAGAGGAUCCUCCCAAUCCGCAGUGAACACCUGAGGAUACAAGUCCUCAAGCAGAAGUCCCGAACCGCUCCGCUUUCUGGAUCUUGAUUUACAAUAAGCUUUAUUUAAUAUUUCCUGAUGUUGACUGAAAUAUAUGCCAACCAAUUGUAAUACAGUAUGCCUUAUUUUUUUGCAAUGGAAUUCUGGAAAAUACAGUUGCUGGCAAUUUGCUGUAACUGUAAUAAAAUACCGUAACUCAAACAGUUGUACUGUGUUUAUCUC